UACAGAGGGGGCAAGCGUUAUUCGGAAUUAUUGGGCGUAAAGGGCGCGUAGGCGGCUUUGCAAGUGGCGGGUGAAAUCCCUCGGCUUAACCGAGGAACUGCCUGCCAGACUGUGAGGCUUGAGACCGGGAGAGGUGAGUGGAAUUCCCAGUGUAGCGGUGAAAUGCGUAGAUAUUGGGAGGAACACCAGUGGCGAAGGCGGCUCACUGGCCCGGUACUGACGCUGAGGUGCGAAAGCGUGGGGAGCAAACAGG
rnacentral:rRNA from 1 species